rnacentral:lncRNA from 1 species
UGGGUUUUGAGUGAAAUCCAAUCUCUACAACUAUGCAAUACACCAACCACUCCUCUUCAUAAAGAACUUCGUACGAACCUGAAUUGUCCAAUUUCAUGGACCAAUCGAUAUCGGAUUGAGUCCAAAACUUGGGGAGCAUCACACUAUGGUGGGUGGAUUCAUUUCGUGGCUCUUGAGUGAAAUCCAAUGGGUAAAACUAUACAAUACACCAACCACUCCAUUUCAUAACGAACUUCGUACGAACCUGAAUUGUCCAAUUUAUUGGACCACUCGAUAUCGGAUUGAGUCCAAAACUUGGGGAACAUCAUAAUAUGAUGGGAGGAGUCAUUUGGUGUCUUUUGGGUGAAAUCCGAUGGCUAAAACUAUGCAAUUCACCAACCACUCCAUUUCAGAACGAACUUUGUUCGAACCUGAACUGUCCAAUUUCAUGGACCAAUUGAUAUCGGAUUGUGUCCAAAACUUGGGGAGCAUCAUACUAUGGUGGGUGGAUUCAUUUGGUGGCUCUUGAGUGAAAUCCAAUGGGUAAAACUGUGGAAUACACCAACCACUCCAUUCCAUAACGAACUUCGUACGAACCUGAAUUGUCCAAUUUCAUGGACCAAUCGAUAUGGAAUUGAGUCCUAAACUUGUGGAUCAUCAUAAUACGGUGGGAGGAGUCAUUUCGUGGGUUUCGAGAGAAAACCAAUCUCUACAACUAUGCAAUAUACCAACGACCCUAUUUCAUAACGAACUUCGUACGAACCUGAAAUUUCCAAUUUGAUGGACCAAUCGAUAUCGGAUUGAGUCCAAAACUUGGCAAUCAUCAUAAAAACGCGGGAGGAGUCAUUUCGUGGGUUUUGAGUGAAAUCCAAUCUCUACAACUAUGCAAUACCCCAACCACCCUAUUUCAUAACGAACUUCGUACGAACCUGAAUUGUCCAAUUUAUUGGACCACUCGAUAUCGGAUUGAGUCCAAAACAUGGGGAACAUGACAAUAUGGUGGGAGGAGUCAUUUGGUUCUGUUGAGUGAAAUCCGAUGGCGAAAACUAUGCA